rnacentral:rRNA from 1 species
AUUGAACGCUGGCGGCAGGCCUAACACAUGCAAGUCGAACGGUAACAGGAAACAGCUUGCUGUUUCGCUGACGAGUGGCGGACGGGUGAGUAAUGUCUGGGAAACUGCCUGAUGGAGGGGGAUAACUACUGGAGACGGUAGCUAAUACCGCAUAACGUCGCAAGACCAAAGAGGGGGACCUUCGGGCCUCUUGCCAUCGGAUGUGCCCAGAUGGGAUUAGCUAGUAGGUGGGGUAACGGCUCACCUAGGCGACGAUCCCUAGCUGGUCUGAGAGGAUGACCAGCCACACUGGAACUGAGACACGGGCCAGACUCCUACGGGAGGCAGCAGUGGGGAAUAUUGCACAAUGGGCGCAAGCCUGAUGCAGCCAUGCCGCGUGUAUGAAGAAGGCCUUCGGGUUGUAAAGUACUUUCAGCGGGGAUGAAGGGAGUAAAGUUAAUACCUUUGCUCAUUGACGUUACCCGCAGAAGAAGCACCGGCUAACUCCGUG